rnacentral:rRNA from 1 species
AUUGAACGCUGGCGGCAGGCCUAACACAUGCAAGUCGAACGGUAACAGGGAUCAGCUUGCUGAUUCGCUGACGAGUGGCGGACGGGUGAGUAAUGUCUGGGAAACUGCCUGAUGGAGGGGGAUAACUACUGGAAACGGUAGCUAAUACCGCAUAACGUCGCAAGACCAAAGAGGGGGACCUUCGGGCCUCUUGCCUUCGGAUGUGCCCAGAUGGGAUUAGCUAGUAGGUGGGGUAACGGCUCACCUAGGCGACGAUCCCUAGCUGGUAUGAGAGGAUGACCAGCCACACUGGAACUGAGACACGGUCAAGACUCCUACGGGAGGCAGCAGUGGGGAAUAUUGCACAAUGGGCGCAAGCCUGAUGCAGCCAUGCCGCGUGUAUGAAGAAGGCCUUCGGGUUGUAAAGUACUUUCAGCGGGGAGGAAGGGAGUAAAGUUAAUACCUUUGCUCAUUGACGUUACCCGCAGAAGAAGCACCGGCUAACUCCGUG